rfam:Camelus ferus unplaced genomic scaffold scaffold275, whole genome shotgun sequence.
GGCAGUAUAGCUCAGUGGUAAAGCGCGUGCCUAGCACGCCCGAGGUCCUGGGUUCAAUCCCAAGUACCUCCA